rnacentral:tRNA from 1 species
GGAGAUUUAGCUCAGCAGUAGAGCACUUGCCUAGCAAGCACAAGGCCCUGGGUUCAGUCCCCAGCUCUG